GGGUCAGUAGGUUGGUCGUGCCACCGGUACGUACUGGUCUCACUGAUUCCUCCUUCCUGAAGAACCGUAAUGCCAUUAAUUUGGUGUUGCGGGGAAACAGGACUGUUACUUUAAGAAAAUUAGAGUGUUUAAAGCAAGCUAACGCUUGAAUACAUUAGCAUGGAAUAAUGAAAUAGGACGAUCGAUCCUAUUUUGUUGGUUUCUAGGAUUGACGUA
rnacentral:rRNA from 1 species